rnacentral:tRNA from 1 species
GCCUGGGUGGCUUAGUCAGUUAAGCAUCUGACUUCGGCUCAGGUCAUGAUCUCAUGGUUUGUGAGUUUGAGCCCCGCGUCAGGCU